rfam:Mustela putorius furo unplaced genomic scaffold scaffold00139, whole genome shotgun sequence.
GAAAUGGUUUUUUUAAAAACCACUGAUAAAAAUAAGCAGCAAGGUGG